CCUACGGGUGGCAGCAGUGAGGAAUAUUGGUCAAUGGGCGCGAGCCUGAACCAGCCAAGUCGCGUGAGGGAAGACGGCCCUACGGGUUGUAAACCUCUUUUGCCGGGGAGCAACGGGCGCCACGUGUGGCGCCACUGAGAGUACCCGGAGAAAAAGCAUCGGCUAACUCCGUGCCAGCAGCCGCGGUAAUACGUAGGAGGCAAGCGUUAUCCGGAAUGACUGGGCGUAAAGGGUGCGUAGGUGGUUUGACAAGUUAGUAGCGCAACUCCGGAGCUCAACUUCGGAACUACUACUAAAACUGUUGGACUUGAGUGCAGGAGGGGCAAUCGGAAUUCCUAGUGUAGCGGUGGAAUGCGUAGAUAUUAGGAGGAACACCAGUGGCGAAGGCGGAUUGCUAGACUGUAACUGACACUGAGGCACGAAAGCGUGGGGAGCAAACAGGAUUAGAUACCCCAGUAGUC
rnacentral:rRNA from 1 species